AACGAACGCUGGCGGCAUGCCUAACACAUGCAAGUCGAACGAGAUCUUCGGGUCUAGUGGCGCACGGGUGCGUAACGCGUGGGAAUCUGCCCUUUGGUUCGGAAUAACAGUUGGAAACGACUGCUAAUACCGGAUGAUGACGAAAGUCCAAAGAUUUAUCGCCAGAGGAUGAGCCCGCGUAGGAUUAGCUAGUUGGUGUGGUAAAGGCGCACCAAGGCGACGAUCCUUAGCUGUCUGAGAGGAUGAUCAGCCACACUGGGACUGAGACACGGCCCAGACUCCUACGGGAGGCAGCAGUGGGGAAUAUUGGACAAUGGGCGAAAGCCUGAUCCAGCAAUGCCGCGUGGGUGAUGAAGGCCUUAGGGUUGUAAAGCUCUUUUACCCGGGAUGAUAAUGACAGUACCGGGAGAAUAAGCUCCGGCUAACUCCGUGCCAGCAGCCGCCGUAA
rnacentral:rRNA from 1 species